CUGCCAUGCUUCCUGGACAGACUUUGAAACCCUCUCUCUUGGAAGAUGAAUUAUGUCUGGUUUUAAAGAAAAUAUAGUAUUGGCUGGGGAGUCAAGAUGGCCGAACAGGAACAGCUCCGGUCUACAGCUCCCAGCGUGAGCGACGCAGAAGAUGGGUGCUUUCUGCAUUUCCAUCUGAGGUACCGGGUUCAUCUCACUAGGGAGUGCCAGACAGUGGGCGCAGGUCAGUGGGUGCAGCGCACCGUGUGCUAGCCGAAGCAGGGCAAGGCAUUGCCUCACUCGGGAAGCGCAAGGGGUCAGGGAGUUCCCUUUCCUAGUCAAAGAAAGGGGUGACAGACGGCACCUGGAAAAUCGGGUCACUCCCACCCUAAUACUGUGCUUUUCCAACGGGCUUAAAAAAUGGCACACCAGGAGAUUAUAUCCUGCACCUGGCUUGGAGGGUCCUACGCCCACAGAGUCUCACUGAUUGCUAGCAUAGGAGUCUGAGAUCAAACUGCAAGGCAGCAGCAAGGCUAGGGGAGGGGUGCCUGCCAUUGCCCAAGUUUGAUUAGUAAACAAAGC
rnacentral:lncRNA from 1 species